GUAGGUGGCAAGCGUUGUCCGGAUUUAUUGGGUUUAAAGGGUGCGUAGGCGGCUCUGUAAGUCAGUGCUGAAAUAUCCCGGCUUAACUGGGAGGGUGGCAUUGAUACUGUGGAGCUAGAGUACAGAUGAGGUAGGCGGAAUUGACGGUGUAGCGGUGAAAUGCUUAGAUAUCGUCAAGAACACCUAUAGCGAAGGCAGCUUACUAGGCUGUAACUGACGCUGAGGCACGAAAGUGUGGGGAUCAAACAGGAUUAGAUACCCUGGUAGUCCACACUGUAAACGUUGAUUACUCGCUGUGUGCGAUAUACAGUACGCGGCCAAGCGAAAGCGCUAAGUAAUCCACCUGGGGAGUACGCCGGCAACGGUGAA
rnacentral:rRNA from 1 species